GGCGGACGGGUGAGUACACGUAAGUAACCUGCCCAGAAGUGGGGAAUAACUAGCCGAAAGGUUGGCUAAUACCGCAUGUGAUGGUUUGUCCUUGGACGGAUCAUUAAAGAUUUAUCGCUUCUGGAGGGGCUUGCGGUCGAUUAGCUAGUUGGUGGGGUAACGGCCUACCAAGGCGACGAUCGAUAGCUGGUCUGAGAGGACGGUCAGCCACACGGGGACUGAGAUACGGCCCCGACUCCUACGGGAGGCAGCAGCUAGGAAUCUUGGGAAUGGGCGAAAGCCUGACCCAGCAACGCCGCGUGGGCGACGAAGGCCUUCGGGUCGUAAAGCCCUUUUGCAGGGGAAGAUUAUGACGGUACCCUGCGAAUAAGCCACGGUAACUACGUGCCAGCAGCCGCGG
rnacentral:rRNA from 1 species